AUGUUUGCUUCAGCUCCACUGCUGCUGCUGGCUCUCGCCCCCUAUGUGUUCUGUGCUACUGAGCUCAUCCAGCCAGACUCACUGCUUAUAAAGCCAGGAGAGACUUUAACCAUCACCUGUAAAGUUUACGAGCGAUUAUACAGCUUGGACAAUGCAAUUUUAGGACAAUGUAUCUUAUUGCUACUCAUUUCAUAUUCUUAUGGACAGUCCCUGACUUCCUCUGAUUCUGUGGUGAAGAGACCUGGAGAGUCGGUCACUCUGUCCUGUACUGUCUCCGGAUUCUCAAUGAGCUACUACAUGCACUGGAUCCGUCAGAAACCAGGACAAGGACUGGAGUGGAUCGGGCGCAUUGAUAGUGGCACAGGCACAAUAUUCGCUCAGUCUCUACAGGGCCAGUUCUCCAUCAAUAAAGACACCAAUAAAAACUUGCUGUACCUAGAAGUGAAGAGUCUGAAAGCCGAAGACACGGCAGUUUAUUACUGUGCACGAGAGUCACACUGA